GCGGCGGAGCAAGCGGAUUAAUUUGAUGCAACGUAAGAACCUUACCAAGGCUUGACAUGGACCGGAUCGCUGCAGAGAUGUAGUUUCCCUUCGGGGCUGGUUCACAGGUGGUGCAUGGUUGUCGUCAGCUCGUGUCGUGAGAUGUUGGGUUAAGUCCCGCAACGAGCGCAACCCUUGUCCUAUGUUGCCAGCACGUGAUGGUGGGGACUCAUGGGAGACUGCCGGGGUCAACUCGGAGGAAGGUGGGGAUGACGUCAAAUCAUCAUGCCCUUUAUGUCUUGGGCUUCACGCAUGAUACAAUGGCCGGUACAGUGGGUUGGGAUACUGUGAGGUGGAGCUAAUCCAUAAAAGAAAAUCUCUGUUAGGUUGGAAGUCAGUAACUAAAUUUCGUGAAGGAGGAGGGGAUAGUAAUUACUGAUCAACAAGGAUGCGGUGAAGACGAUCCCGCCCGUCGUACACCCCACCGCCCAAGUCACCAAAGUAGGUAACACCCCAAGCUCACGGCCCAAACCGUAUGGGAGCGAGUGUCGAACGGUGAUU
rnacentral:rRNA from 2 species